rnacentral:rRNA from 1 species
AUUGAACGCUGGCGGCAGGCUUAACACAUGCAAGUCGAGCGGGGUGAUGGUGCUUGCACUAUCACUUAGCGGCGGACGGGUGAGUAAUGCUUAGGAAUCUGCCUAUUAGUGGGGGACAACAUCUCGAAAGGGAUGCUAAUACCGCAUACGUCCUACGGGAGAAAGCAGGGGAUCACUUGUGACCUUGCGCUAAUGGAUGAGCCUAGGUCGGAUUAGCUAGUUGGUGGGGUAAAGGCCUACCAAGGCGACGAUCUGUGGCGGGUCUGAGAGGAUGAUCCGCCACACUGGGACUGAGACACGGCCCAGACUCCUACGGGAGGCAACAGUGGGGAAUAUUGGACAAUGGGGGGAACCCUGAUCUAGCCAUGCCGCGUGUGUGAAGAAGGCCUUAUGGUUGUAAAGCACUUUAAGCGAGGAGGAGGCUCUUUUGGUUAAUACCCAAGAUGAGUGGACGUUACUCGCAGAAUAAGCACCGGCUAACUCUGUGCCAGCCGCCGCAGUAA